rnacentral:rRNA from 1 species
UGGGGAAUAUUGGACAAUGGGGGCAACCCUGAUCCAGCCAUGCCGCGUGUGUGAAGAAGGCCUUUCGGUUGUAAAGCACUUUAAGCAGGGAGGAGAGGCUAAUGGUUAAUACCCAUUAGAUUAGACGUUACCUGCAGAAUAAGCACCGGCUAACUCUGUGCCAGCAGCCGCGGUAAUACAGAGGGUGCGAGCGUUAAUCGGAAUUACUGGGCGUAGAGCGAGUGUAGGUGGCUCAUUAAGUCACAUGUGAAAUCCCCGGGCUUAACCUGGGAACUGCAUGUGAUACUGGUGGUGCUAGAAUAUGUGAGAGGGAAGUAGAAUUCCAGGUGUAGCGGUGAAAUGCGUAGAGAUCUGGAGGAAUACCGAUGGCGAAGGCAGCUUCCUGGCAUAAUACUGACACUGAGAUUCGAAAGCGUGGGUAGCAAACAGAUUAGAUACCCUGGUAGUCCACGCCGUAAACGAUGUCUACUAGCCGUUGGGGGUCCUUGAGACUUUAGUGGCGCAGUUAACGCGAUAAGUAGACCGCCUGGGGA